rnacentral:rRNA from 1 species
GUGAAGUCCCCAUUUCUUUGCAAACAGUACCAAUGUGUCAGGCUUGAUGUCCAGGCACAAGAAGAUUUAUUCACAUAUACAAACUCAAUUUCUGCUGCCGACCAACUGAGAAAAAUUUGGCUACACAUAUCUGAUCCAGUCCCAAGGUUUCUAAAAUUGCAACAGAUACAAGAAGCCCUCGCAUUUGACGCUGAAAUGCAAGAUGAUGCAUUCAAUGUUGCUGUCCAAGCACUAUUCGAGGAUGAGGUGCACAGGUUCGGGGGAACAGAUUUCCUAGGCUGGAGGCACUUCUUGAAUCAAGAUUUCGCGAUGCACGCAACCGCUGGUGGCGCAGACUGGAACCCCGAGGAUCAUGUCUACUUAUUCAACGACAUUCACAUACCAUACGACGUCUCAAAAAGCCGUCUGAUAUAUAUCCCUCUCCACCAACCGUUUCAUUUCUCAGUCUACGCAUUUGAUAUGGAGAACGAGAAGAUUCAGAUCAUGGACCCCUUAAGAGAUACAAGCAAAGGAGGGCAGGACAUUGAAGCUAGGCACUCUAAGACUAAAGAUCAUAUUGCGAAAGCAUUGCAGGAUUGCAUGGUCAUCUCUUUUCCAGAC